CGAAGGACCAGUAUGUUAAACCGGCACAACGCUUGAGCAAGGUCGUGGCCGAUUAAAUUUGUUGGAAUGAGAAAUAAAGCAAAAACGUUACCUUUGAUUUGACUCAGGAACACAAUGGCUGGAACACGUCCUCUUGGAUUCACUCUCGGAAAA